CAGGUUAAAGCCUAGUGGUUAGGCGUCUCAAUUGGGAUGAGAAGACGUUAUGUUCGAAUCAUAAUAACCUGA
rnacentral:tRNA from 1 species